GGGAGCAGAGGUAUCCAGCGACUUGGAGCAGACAAGUAUGGAAGGUUCUGGCGAUGAUUGGAUGGCCGAGGUGAGGCAGCGAGUGGCCCAGUAUGGGGAUUAUUUACCCAUGGAGGUACGCCGGGUGAUCUGGAACCAGGUCACGGCCGAGCGAAACACAAGGCUGGCCCGAGAAUUCCGGCUGGCGAAAGAGAGAGAGUAU